GGCCAUCCGUGGACAUAUUAUGACUGUUAGGAAUAAUGCCCUUUAAGACUGUGUAGCAGAUUGCAUUCAGGCUGUAUUUAAUAUUAUGUGUUCGGUAAACAGUGUUAUGUAUAUGCAGCAUUCCCCUGAUUGUUCGGUAGAAUCACUCCAUUCAUUAUAUUGAGUGAAACUACCGAACAACCAGACCACCCUGGAGUAAGUGUGCCUCCAAUUACCGUUUGCAAC